UGGUGUGGAGAUGUAGUGUCUCUCCUCUUUUGUGACCCUGAAGCAUUUGACCCGAUGUUUCUUCCGAUCUUCCCGAACUCCCCAAAACAAAAGAAUAUACAAACAGCUCCAAAGAGACUACUGAAAACUCAGCAGCAGCAUAAACAACACACGCAACAAAACAACAAAAUAGCACAGCAGCCUUCCAAAAUUCUAAAAACACCAAUACACAGCUUCAUGUGAAGGGAAAAUGAUAGAAAAAUUCCAGAAACAAACACCAAUACAUUGCUGCCAAACAAUACUUGAACCAACACACCUGUUGACGAAACUAACUCGAAGGACCAUUCUUGAAACACAAUCUUCUACACCGUCCCAUGGUUUUCCUCCAAGAAUACCUCCCUUGAUAGCACCUCAUACGCGGACUUAGCCAAGAACGUACCCCUGCUUCAAGAUACCAAUCCCAACUAAUCACCCUCCAACAAAUCCCGAAGCAGCACUACAAAUUAUUAUAAUACUAUGUGUGUAUCACUCUCAAGACACUUAUGAUAAUGGUGAAUACAUCAAUG
rnacentral:lncRNA from 1 species